UACAGAGGUCUCAAGCGUUGUUCGGAAUCACUGGGCGUAAAGGGUGCGUAGGCGGCUUGAUAAGUCAAAUGUGAAACACUGGGGCUCAACCUCAGAAUUGCAUAUGAUACUGUCGGGCUAGAGGACUGAAGGGGAGUUUUGAAUUCACGGUGUAGCAGUGAAAUGCGUAGAUAUCGUGAGGAACACCAAAGGCGAAAGCAAAACUCUUGGCAGCUCCUGACGCUCAGGCACGAAGGCUAGGGGAGCAAACGGG
rnacentral:rRNA from 1 species